UGGGGAAUAUUGCACAAUGGGCGCAAGCCUGAUGCAGCCAUGCCGCGUGUGUGAAGAAGGCCUUCGGGUUGUAAAGCACUUUCAGCGGGGAGGAAGGCGUUAAGGUUAAUAACCUUGGCGAUUGACGUUACCCGCAGAAGAAGCACCGGCUAACUCCGUGCCAGCAGCCGCUGUAAUACGGAGGGUGCAAGCGUUAAUCGGAAUUACUGGGCGUAAAGCGCACGCAGGCGGUUUGUUAAGUCAGAUGUGAAAUCCCCGGGCUCAACCUGGGAACUGCAUCUGAUACUGGCAAGCUUGCGUCUCGUAGAGGGGGGUAGAAUUCCAGGUGUAGCGGUGAAAUGCGUUGAGAUCUGGAGGAAUACCGGUGGCGAAGGCGGCCCCCUGGACGAAGACUGACGCUCAGGUGCGAAAGCGUGGGGAGCAAACAGG
rnacentral:rRNA from 1 species